rnacentral:rRNA from 1 species
CGCCAGACUCCUACGGGAGGCAGCAGUGGGGAAUAUUGCACAAUGGGGGAAACCCUGAUGCAGCGACGCCGCGCGAGUGAAGAAGUAUUUCGGUAUGUAAAGCUCUAUCAGCAGGGAAGAAAAUGACGGUACCUGAUUAAGAAGCCCCGGCUAACUACGUGCCAGCAGCCGCGGUAAUACGUAGGGGGCAAGCGUUAUCCGGAUUUACUGGGUGUAAAGGGAGCGUAGACGGCAGUGCAAGUCUGAAGUGAAAGCCCCGGGCUUAACCCGGGAAUUGCUUUGGAAACUGUACGGCUGGAGUGCUGGAGAGGUAAGCGGAAUUCCUAGUGUAGCGGUGAAAUGCGUAGAUAUUAGGAGGAACACCAGUGGCGAAGGCGGCUUACUGGACAGUAACUGACGUUGAGGCUCGAAAGCGUGGGGAGCAAACAGGAUUAGAUACCCUCGUAA